GUGGGGAAGAGCUGGAAGCAAACUCCCAAGUGUAUUUCUGGGUCAGACCAGCCAGAGCAGCAGGAGAGCGGCUGGUUCUUCCUGAAGGGGUGAGCUCUGCUUCCUUGAGAAGAUGGCGGAAAAAGCAUUCUUAAUUUGGGUGGGGGAGCUAUGAAAUGUCUGAUAGGGGCAACAGGGACCUGUGCGCUUGUGCUAUCCGUGGGCUUGGUGGCAGUAGCAGUCACAGGAGUUGGCGUCUACUGCUGGAGUAAGGCCCAAGAAAACAAGAAACAGAAAAUGUAUUGACAGGAAUCCUUUCCAAUCCCCUGGCCAGAAGAAGAAGGCUCCACCUUCCUAGGGGAUGUGUGAAGCAACAUGCUAUACACAGUUUAUAUUUUCAUUAUGAACAAAUUCAACCUUUGAGCAAAAUAAAAAUUAAGUGC